UAAAAAUUCUAAAUAAAAAUUGUUUUUAAAAAUAAAUUAAAAAAAAAAGUUUUUGUAAAAAUUCGUUUUAAACCAAAUUUUAGUUUGAAAAAUUACUUUUUGUUAAAAAAGAGAAUAUCUGAAGAAUAAUCAUUAUUGUGGAAUAUUAAAAUUUUUGAACUUAAUUCAACAAAAGCCUCAACGAUUCUUAUACUUUAAACGCAAACAACAAUAAUAGCAGAGAGAAAAAAAAAGCCAACAUAAUAAAAUCUCAUUAGUAAACAAAACAGGAAAUAAAAAUGUCCAUUAAACAAUAAAACGACAAAUACAGAUAAAAAGCAACAAACCAAAUAAAAAACAAAUAAAAAAAUAAUAAAGAAAAAAAAAAAAUCUAAAGAUGAAAAUGAAAAAUUAUUUCAAAUAACCACAAAAUAACAUACAGAGAGAAAAAAGCACAGAAAUGGACAGCAACAACAACACUAACAAAAGAAAAAAAGUAAAAAGUUUGAAGUAAAUAAUAACCAAUCAUUUUUUAUACACAGUUAAAGCUGAAAAUCCUACAAAUAAACACAAGAAACGUAGCAUAGUGAUUAAUAAUAUUUUAUGAUCUCUCUCUCUCUCUCUCUCUCUCUCUUAAAAAAAUAAAAUAAAACGUAACAGCAGUUAGAGAGCUGAACAAGAAAAAAAGGACACAUAACAACCAACACCAACAAUAAAUAAACGGAAACUAUAAUAUGUGAUUGUGGUCAUAAGCGGAUGUCCGUGUUU